rnacentral:rRNA from 1 species
CCUACGGGAGGCAGCAGUAGGGAAUAUUGGUCAAUGGGCGAGAGCCUGAACCAGCCAUGCCGCGUGCAGGAAGAAGGCCCUCUGGGUUGUAAACUGCUUUUGACAGGGGCCAAAAUACUCAUGCGUGAGGAAUUGAGAGUACCUGUAGAAUAAGCACCGGCUAACUCCGUGCCAGCAGCCGCGGUAAUACGGAGGGUGCAAGCGUUGUCCGGAUUUAUUGGGUUUAAAGGGUGCGUAGGUGGCCUUAUAAGUCAGUGGUGAAAGCCUGCAGCUUAACUGUAGGACUGCCAUUGAUACUGUAGGGCUUGAGUACUGAUGAGGUAGGCGGAAUUGAUAGUGUAGCGGUGAAAUGCAUAGAUAUUAUCAAGAACACCGAUUGCGAAGGCAGCUUACUAAGGAGUUACUGACACUGAGGCACGAAAGCGUGGGGAUCAAACAGGAUUAGAUACCCUGGUAGUCCACGCCAUAAACGAUGAUUACUCGAUGUAUGCGAUAGAUAGUAUGCGUCCAAGCGAAAGCGUUAAGUAAUCGACCUGGGAGUACGACCGCGAAGGUUGAAACGUCAAAGAGUAGUACGGACGUUGAGAGUUGCGACGGACGGACACGACGGGAGGAGGGAG